CCUAAUUUAAAACUUACAUGUAUAAAUAAACCAAAUACCUUAUAUAUUAUUAUUUAUUAUUUUAUAGAAAAUUGCAAAUACUGAAAUACAUUUAAACAAGUCUUAGAUAGGAGUAAUGAGAGUGUGGAUUUUUAACCAUAAACUCAUACAGGCUCUACAUAUAAAAUCGUUUUCUUAGUAGCUCGGCUAAGCUAAGGCUAACCCACUUUUUUAAACUGUCUGUGCCUCAAAUGUUGACUUACUAUCACUUACUGGGUUGUCUUUUCAACAAUGUUUUUCAAAAUUGACUUUAUGCUGUAAUUUGUAUUAGUUUGUCAAAAAUAACGUUGUUUUUACAUAUUUUAAUUUUUAUAUUUUCAUAAACGAUCACAUAAAGCUAUUUAAAAGUCACAUGGUGACGGGACAUUGUCACGUGACUACAAAUGACGCGGGAGUUGCUGGUCUCGCAAGUCCAGUGUUAACAACAACGUCAACAACGUCGAAACGCCCCUAGCUAACCGUCAUACGAAUUAACGAGACACCUAGACAAAAGACAGGCUGAACCUCGGUGAUUAUUCUGACACCUGCAGUAUCACAGACAACGUUUCCUGAAAACAUCCUGACACUGAGGUUCAAUACUUCAUUCAAAUUCUCAAAUCAUGUGCCAGUCCAGUCACCUGAUCCUGGCCGUAGGAGUGGACAGUAGACAGAAAUAAACCGGUGAUGUCAUCAGUGCUGGAGUUGAG